CCCGGCGACCGGCGCACGGGUGAGUAACACGUAUGAAACCUGCCCGUAGCAGGGGGAUAAGCGGAAGAAAUUCCGUCUAAUACCGCGUAACAACCCAUGGAGGCAUCUCUGUGGGUUUAAAGGAAGCGAUUCCGGCUACGGAUGGUCAUGCGUCGCAUUAGCUUGUUGGCGGGGUAACGGCCCACCAAGGCGACGAUGCGUAGGGGUUCUGAGAGGAAGGUCCCCCACACUGGUACUGAGGCACGGACCAGACUCCUACGGGAGGCAGCAG
rnacentral:rRNA from 1 species